rnacentral:misc_RNA from 1 species
UUUUGCCAAAGCCUUCAUCUCUUCUACCAUGGCAGCUUUCCAUUUUAGACCAAGGUAUGCUUUCUUCCAAUCCUGAUAAAAACAGAAGAAACAGAUAAGACCAAGGCUUUAUAGGAAGGAGAUAAAGAAUAAUAAGAAACAAACUUGGAUAUGGGAUGUUUGGUGCAAGUCCUAACCCCUUUUCUAUGAGUAAUGGGUAUAUAAAGAUCAUCAGUGGAAGAAUUAGAAUCAGAUUGAGUAUCAAAAGGAUGAGUCUUACCACAUAAUUCUUCAGGCUCAGGAUGUGCAGGAGCUGAAUCCAGGGAUUCUGAUUGAUUAGGUGUAUCAUGCUUAAUGACUGUAUCUGUCGUGUCACGGUGAGUGUAAGUUCUUAAAUCAAUUCUAUUCAGUCUCUUUGUGGAUUGAGGAAUGAGGAGUAAUUGGCCUAUUCAGUCUCUAUGUGGGUUGAGGAGCAACAGGCUUAUCGUCACUACUUAGAUUAGGUUCAAGUCUAAGAAUCUCCCACUGAAAAGGAGUAGGGAAAGUAACCUCUUCCUUAUUAUUUUCCUUCUGAAGAGGUAACUAGAAAUAGGGUUUAGAUUCCCUAAAGGCUACAUCUAUGGUCACAAAAUAUUUUUUUGAAGGAGGAUGAUAACAUUUAUUACUUUUUUUGAGUUCUAGAAUAACCCACAACACAUAUUAGUGCUCUAGGUUCUAAUUUCCCGACAUGUGACCUAUGAACAAAGCAAACAUACCUAAACACUUUUUGAGGAACAAUAUAAGAACUCUUAACUUUAAGAAUUUUCAAAUCACUCUUAAAGUUUAGUGUGUGAAGGGGCAUCCAAUUGAUAAGAUAUGCUAUAGAAAGAACAGCAUCCCCCUAGUAAAACUUGGGAAGAUUUAUUGUGAACAUAAGGGAUCUAGCCACUUUUAAGUAAAUGCCUAUUUUUCUUUUCAGACAAUCAAUUUUGUGCACUAGUAUUUACACAACUAGUUUGAUGUAGGAUCUCAUGUGAAUCUAAAUAAGACUGAAAAGCUUUGUUCAUAUAUUCUGUCUCAUUAUUAGUUCUUAGAAUUUUGACCUGUUAAUCAAACGAGUGCAAAUCAUUUCAUGAAAUUGUUGAAAAUAUGAAAAUACUUCAUUCUUAGCUCUCAACAAAUAAACUCAAAUCAAUCUAGUACAGUGUUAUCAAGGCGAAAGGCG